rnacentral:rRNA from 1 species
AGAGUUUGAUCCUGGCUCAGGAUGAACGCUGGCGGCGUGCCUAACACAUGCAAGUUGAGCGAUUUACUUCGGUAAAGAGCGGCGGACGGGUGAGUAACGCGUGGGUAACCUACCCUGUACACACGGAUAACAUACCGAAAGGUAUGCUAAUACGGGAUAAUAUAUUUGAGAGGCAUCUCUUGAAUAUCAAAGGUGAGCCAGUACAGGAUGGACCCGCGUCUGAUUAGCUAGUUGGUAAGGUAACGGCUUACCAAGGCGACGAUCAGUAGCCGACCUGAGAGGGUGAUCGGCCACAUUGGAACUGAGACACGGUCCAAACUCCUACGGGAGGCAGCAGUGGGGAAUAUUGCACAAUGGGCGAAAGCCUGAUGCAGCAACGCCGCGUGAGUGAUGAAGGCCUUCGGGUCGUAAAACUCUGUCCUCAAGGAAGAUAAUGACGGUACUUGAGGAGGAAGCCCCGGCUAACUACGUGCCAGCAGCCGCGGUAAUACGUAGGGGGCUAGCGUUAUCCGGAUUUACUGGGCGUAAAGGGUGCGUAGGCGGUCUUUCAAGUCAGGAGUGAAAGGCUACGGCUCAACCGUAGUAAGCUCUUGAAACUGGGAGACUUGAGUGCAGGAGAGGAGAGUGGAAUUCCUAGUGUAGCGGUGAAAUGCGUAGAUAUUAGGAGGAACACCAGUUGCGAAGGCGGCUCUCUGGACUGUAACUGACGCUGAGGCACGAAAGCGUGGGGAGCAAACAGGAUUAGAUACCCUGGUAGUCCACGCUGUAAACGAUGAGUACUAGNAUAUAUUGGGGAUUAGCCAAGUCGGUAAGGCACAUGACUUUGACUCAUGUAUGCGUAGGUUCGAGUCCUGCAUCCCCAGCCAAACAGUAUGGUCUAUUAGCUCAGUCGGUAGAGCACCUGACUUUUAAUCAGGGUGUCCCGCGUUCGAGUCGCGGAUAGAUCACCAAUGGAGAGGUGUCCGAGUGGUUUAAGGAGCUGGUCUUGAAAACCAGUGACUUCGAAAGGGGCCGUGGGUUCGAAUCCCACCCUCUCCGCCAAAUGCCCAGAUAGCUCAGUCGGUAGAGCAGGGGACUGAAAAUCCCCGUGUCGGUGGUUCGAUUCCGCCUCUGGGCACCAAAUGUGGCGGUAUAGCUUAGUUGGCUAGAGCGUUCGGUUCAUACCCGAAAGGUCAUAGGUUCGACUCCUAUUACCGCUACUAAAAUUUAAUGUGGGCCAUUAGCUCAGUUGGUUAGAGCGCCCGGCUCAUAACCGGUAGGUCUGGGGUUCGAGUCCCUGAUGGCCCACCACAUUAAAUUAACUUAUGGUGGGUAUAGCUCAGUUGGUUAGAGCGCCAGAUUGUGGCUCUGGAGGUCGUGAGUUCGACUCUCAUUAUCCACCCCAACUUAUAUGGUCUAUUAGCUCAGUCGGUAGAGCACCUGACUUUUAAUCAGGGUGUCCCGCGUUCGAGUCGCGGAUAGAUCACCAAAAAGGCGGCGACAUAGCCAAGUGGUAAGGCAGUGGACUGCAACUCCUUGAUCCCCAGUUCGAAUCUGGGUGUCGCCUCCAAUAAAAUGCGCUCAUAGCUCAACUGGAUAGAGUGUCUGACUACGAAUCAGAAGGUUAGGGGUUCGAGUCCCUUUGGGCGCACCAUAUGAAUAGCGAGGGAUUAUAGCUCAGCUGGGAGAGCACCUGCCUUACAAGCAGGGGGUCACAGGUUCGAGCCCUGUUAAUCCCACCAGUGCAAACCUCUAGUAAAACUACUAGAGGUUUUAUUUUUGAUUGAAAAAGUUUUUAUAUUUAGGAGGUAAAAAAUUUGUAUAUAGUAAUAGGAAAUGAAAUAGUUGAUAGUGAAGAACUUAAAAUAAUUAUAGAUAAAAAUAGUGAAUUUAAAGUUGAAAAAGAUUUAAGUAAAAGCACAAAAAGAGAAGAUGUAAUAGCAUAUCAGUUAAGUAUAGAUUUAAAUUACCUAGAUUCUCUUAUAAAUGAGCAAUGUAAUUUAGCCAGUCUAUCUGACGAAGAGAAAUUUGAUGAAUAUAUGACUUUGUCUGAUGAACUUGCACUGGAUUUAGAAGAGUUAAUGCCAAAAUAUACAAUAAUAAAUGCUAGAGCAUAUAAAUUAGACGAGGUAGAUGGAAUUGUAAAAAUAAUACUAGCUGUAGCGUAUGCAGAUUUAGGGCACUUAAAACUUUCUGAUGUAGUAAAGAGGCUAUCUAGACAAGUAGAUUAGGAUAUGAAUAUGAACUAUAUUAAAAAAAUGUAUAAAAUCUUACGUAAAGAUGAAAAUAAUUAUGUAAACAUAGAAAAAAACAGUAUAAAAUCAAGUCAAUUGUAGAAAUUUUCACAUAAAUUUAUCUGAAAUUCUAUAAAAAAUGCCUUAAUUUUAAUGAGGUAAAUCGAGUUUACACAGUCUAAAAAUUACUUAUAUUUAUAAAUUUAUCUUAUUAAUUAAGGAACUUUCUUAAACAUCUUCAAAAAUAAAGUAUUUUAGUCUAUAAUCUUUAAUAUUACACAAACAAUAAAGGAGAAGAAUAGAGUAUGCUUAAAAAGUUUAAUAAAAUACUAGUGGCUAAUAGAGGCGAAAUAGCUAUAAGAAUAUUUAGAGCCUGUUCAGAAUUGGGGAUAAAAAGUGUUGGUAUAUACAGUAAGGAAGAUAAGUAUGGAUUGUUUAGAACAAAAGCGGAUGAAUCAUAUUUGAUAGGAGAAGGUAAAGGGCCAAUAGAUGCAUAUUUAGAUAUGGAUGGAAUAAUAGACCUAGCAAAGAGAAAAAAAGUUGAUGCUAUACAUCCAGGAUAUGGUUUUCUAGCGGAGAAUGCAGAAUUUGCUCGUAAAUGUGAAGAGAAUGGAAUUACUUUUAUAGGACCAUCAUCUAAGGUAAUGAAUAUGAUGGGGGAUAAGAUUAACUCUAAAAAAAUCGCAAAAGAAGUUAAUGUUCAAACUAUACCAGGAGUAGAAAAAGCAAUAAGAAGUACUGAAGAAGCAAAGGAAGUUGCAAACAAAAUAGGAUAUCCUGUUAUGAUAAAAGCAUCUAAUGGCGGUGGCGGUAGAGGUAUGAGAAUUGUACAUCGCGAAGAAGACUUAGAGCUUGAAUAUGAAACUGCUUGUAGUGAAUCAAGAAAAGCUUUUGGAGAAGAUAUUAUAUUUAUAGAAAAAUAUAUAGCUGAUCCAAAACAUAUAGAAGUUCAAAUAUUAGGUGAUAAUUAUGGAAAUAUAGUUCACUUAUAUGAAAGAGAUUGUUCAGUUCAAAGAAGACAUCAAAAAAUAAUAGAAUAUGCACCAGCUUUUUCGUUAGAU